UUUCCCUCGUACCUUUUGCAUCAUGAUUUAGCCAGCAUACUCAAGCAAAGAGAACUUUAGUUUGACCCCCCGAAACUGCGUGAGCUACUCCAAGACAGCCUAUUAAUUAGGGCAAACCCGUCUCUGUGGCAAAAGAGUGGGGAGAGCUUUGAGUAGAGGUGAUAAACCUAUCGAACACAGUUAUAGCUGGUUGCCUGGGAACUGGAUUUAAGUUCAGCCUGUCGGCUUCUCCAUAAACCGACACAGUUAGUCAAAGGGGGUACAGCCCCUUUGAAACAGGACACAACCUUUUAAGGAGGAUAAAGAUCAAAUUCAAUAAGGAAAGAUGUUUUAGUGGGCCUAAGAGCAGCCAUCCUGAUGAAAAGCGUUAAAGCUUAGACAUACGAUCCCGAUAAAAACAUCUUAAUCCCCUAUAUUGUACCAGGCCAUCCUAUGCCCCCAUAGGAGUGACUAUGCUAAUAUGAGUAAUAAGAGAGCCCUCUCUCCCUGCACACGUGUAAAUCGGAACGGACCUCCCACCGAGCCUUAACGGCCCCAACUAAAGAGGGAAAUGAAACACAACAAGAAAACCCCCCACCGUUAACCCAACACAGGUGUGCUCCCAAGGAAAGACUAAGAGAAGGAGAAGGAACUCGGCAAACAAGCCUCGCCUGUUUACCAAAAACAUCGCCUCUUGCACGUAUAAGAGGUCCCGCCUGCCCAGUGACACCCAGUUCAACGGCCGCGGUAUUUUGACCGUGCUAAGGUAGCGUAAUCACUUGUCUUUUAAAUGGAGACCUGUAUGAAUGGCAUAACGAGGGCUUGACUGUCUCCUCCUUCCGGUCAAUGAAAUUGAUCUCCCCGUGCAGAAGCGGGGAUUAAAACAUAAGACGAGAAGACCCUAUGGAGCUUUAGGUACCAAGGCAGUCCAUGUUAAGCACCCCUGAAUAAAGGCCUAAACUUAGUGGACUCUGCCCUAGUAUCUUCGGUUGGGGCGACCCUGGGGAAAUACAAAACCCCCAUGUGGAAUGGGAGCACUCCUACAAACUUGAAACACAAUUCUAAUUAACAGAACUUCUGACCAAACAUGAUCCGGCAAUGCCGAUUAACGGACCAAGUUACCCUAGGGAUAACAGCGCAAUCCUCUUUUAGAGCCCAUAUCGACAAGGGGGUUUACGACCUCGAUGUUGGAUCAGGACAUCCUAUGGUGCAG
rnacentral:rRNA from 1 species